rnacentral:rRNA from 1 species
CGGCGACCGGCGCACGGGUGAGUAACACGUAUGGAACCUGCCCGCAGCAGGGGGAUAAGCGGAAGAAAUUCCGUCUAAUACCGCGUAACAACGUUGGGAGGCAUCUCCCGAUGUUUAAAGAUUUAUCGGCUGCGGAUGGCCAUGCGGCGCAUUAGCUAGUCGGCGGGGUAACGGCCCACCGAGGCGACGAUGCGUAGGGGUUCUGAGAGGAAGGUCCCCCACACUGGUACUGAGACACGGACCAGACUCCUACGGAAGGCAGCAG